GCCUCCCAAGUGCUGGGAUUAAAGUGUCUGCCAUGUCUGCCUCCACUGCUCAGCAAGGACAGUAAUCCAUUCAUGAUGCUUUUCGGGCAAGUGGGCCAGGGGAAGGACCAGGGCACCACCUGAGGUCCAUGGGCAAAGCUGCCCCCAAUGUGCCAUCCUUCUACUUGGCAGUAGUGUGUCUGUGUCACACGCAGUCACUCUCCACACCCACACUGGCACCCAGGAUGUCUGCUUGGCCGUUUGUUCCCCUUUCGUUCCUGGUCUCCCUAUAAUCAGGUACCACAAGUGCAGAACAAUUAUCUUUGAAAAAGUGAUCACUAGGAAAAAAAAAAUCAACCGCUUAACAGUGUACAUCCCUAUUCAGAUAGCUCCCAAGGUUCCUUUCAGCAUAUGGCUCCCAGUCACACUUAAGUUAAUAAGUCUGUCAUGGUGAGUCAUGGCAAAUUAAGACACUGUCCACUCGUUCAUGAUUUAGCUCGGUAAUUCUUAGGCUAGCGAGCAUAUUUACCAGCACCAUCUAAGAAGACAUUAAGAAAUAUGAUUGGGACCAGGGCUAUCACUCACCAUCGGAGUGUGUGUGUGUGUGUGUGUGUGUGUGUGUGUUUGUGUGUGUGUGUGUGUGCAUGUGCGAGUAUAGCAUGAGGAAGGCCCUAGGAUUGCUUCCUAGACACAUAUCCUGUAACCCAGGAUACAUCCCCAGGUAGCAUCAAAUAACUGGUGAAACUGAGGGACAAAUAGCUCUUUGGGACAACUGGUCAUUAUUAACACAAAACAACAACUCCCGGACCUGUGCACUGUCUUGAGAUCUAACUCAAACCCACUACAUCAGAACCGUGGAGAAGAACCUGACAGUCUAUGCUUCAUGAAGCUUCCCAGAUAGUUCCAAUGACUGUAGGCUUAAACCACCAUGCCAUGCCAUCAGCAGAUCUUUUGGGGAGACUCAGGCUCUAAAGUCAAGCAUGCAUCUCUUAGACUUAUUCAGAAAGGGGAGUGCUCUCUGCUUGUCAUGGUCUUCUCUGAUAUAUCUAGCCAGGAUCACCCCUAAGCUCAGCCUUCAGUGAUAACCUUAGGUCAUUGGUUUCAGCUGAUAGAGUUGGGUACUAGGUUUCCAGGGCCUUGAGUUUUGAUUCUUGUCAAGUUUACAGAAUGAACAGUAGAACAAGAGUGAACAAGAGUAGCUUCUAGCCCAAGGAAGGGCUAGAAGCAGAGAGAGUUUAGAGGUUGGUCUCAACCUUGGCUAUUCCCUGCAGUCCCCUGCAGGUAAUUCUCCAAGCCUUCAUCCCAGCCUCUGAUAUAGAUUUCAUUUGUGUGAGAUCAGAGUAUCAGACGCAUAAGGUGUCCAGGAGAUGGGAAUGUGUGGUUGAGGCAGAACUACUAGGGGUGCCCUUGUCUUUUGAACUUUGUUUAUUGUCCGAGGCAGGAGAUCAUGUAGCCAGUUAUGGCUUUGAACUUGUGAUCUUCUUACCUCUACCUCCAAAGAGCUUGGAUUCCAGGCUGAAGUUAUACUUAGGGCUUCAUGCCUGCUAAGCAAAUACUUAGUCAACUGAGCUACAUCCCUAUUCGGCUUCCUGUUUGUUUGUUUGUUUGUUUACUUAUUUAUUUAUUAUUUUAAUCUUCUUUUGACAGACAUUGGGCUCUUUACUCUUUGCUCCAUUCAGAUGUCGGGUGACACGUAGGUGGAACUCUUGGGUUUAGUUUCUUGAAUAUCCUCAAAUCACACAUGUGGUCGGUUACUCCACAGAGCAGGAGAGAGAUCGAGGGCACCCGGUGUGCGUGGUUUCACUUCACUGUCUGAGUUGGUCCUCACCAGAUGUGCACCCUGUGAGUCCCAGAUGUGUUUGCACGGAUACCGUCAACAAGCGUUUGUAAGCGAGCCUUCAUUCGUUUCUGGUGAUUUGAGGUUGAACAGUCAGAUGAUGAGACAUAGCCUACCUUCAAGUGACUGACAGUGACAUCGAGCGUUGAGAGGUGACAUUGAAGUGAUCCUUCAGUGAGCAGAGAGACUGUGAAAUGAUGAAAUGAAGGAGUCCUGGGCAGUUUGGGAUGGGGUCACUUGAGAUAACCAUGACCAGGCCACCCUAUCAGGAAGCUCCUGUUGGAGACCUGCAGAUGGGUGACAGGCAGGAGUGAGCUCUGCAAGACCUACCUGCAUUUCACACAUUGCCUUCAGGAUUUCUUCUGCCUUUUGCUUGCUGACACCUCUCCUGCUCACACCCGCUCUGUCCUCACCCCACCCUCAGCUCUGCCAAUUUUAUCCCCACCCCCACCAUUCAUGUCCUGAAUAAUAUCCAAAUUGUUAGAUCUGAAAAUACGAGAAUAGAGAGGAAGUUAUAGCAGGCAGGUGGACUCCCAAGGGACAGCCAGGAAGCAUACAAGGAAAGAGGAUGGGUAGAAGACAAAGUUACACAUCAGGUAUGUUACUCUGAUGUAUGCGCUCCAGGCGCUACACUUACUAACUCACCUGCCUUCCAGAGUACCUUUAGGGAACAGGUUCCAAAUUGGGAAGGACUCUUCCCAGGUUCCUUGGUUAUGAACAUGGAAUCAGGGAAGGACUGGGUGUGUAGGGUGUCUGAGGCAAAAAAAAAAAAAA
rnacentral:sRNA from 1 species